AAUGCACUUCUUGACGGAUAUAAUGGCGGCCCCCAUGGAGCAUCACGUACUGGGUGUGGGGGACAAGUCAUUUUCCGUUUACAUUGUUGUUUAUAAAGAUGUGAGGAAUGUCAAAGAACUUCGGCCUUUGCUUAUGAAUGGGAGCUUAAACGUGGCGUUGGUUUCGGCAAAAAAGAUAGUUUCUUCAUUUCAACUUCUGGUGGCAGCCAACAUAGCCCUGCACAACCAGGCAGAUGGCUCACUGAAAACAAGGAAUGUCAACUCAGAGAUAAUAUUCUCUCUGUCCCCAGGAAAACAGAUAUCUGAGGCGUUUCGGUCGUGGGCGCGGCGGCCGACGACGCG